UGGGGAAUAUUGCACAAUGGGCGCAAGCCUGAUGCAGCCAUGCCGCGUGUAUGAAGAAGGCCUUCGGGUUGUAAAGUACUUUCAGCGAGGAGGAAGGCGUUGUGGUUAAUAACCGCAGCGAUUGACGUUACUCGCAGAAGAAGCACCGGCUAACUCCGUGCCAGCAGCCGCGGUAAUACGGAGGGUGCAAGCGUUAAUCGGAAUUACUGGGUGUAAAGCGCACGCAGGCGGUCUGUCAAGUCGGAUGUGAAAUCCCCGGGCUCAACCUGGGAACUGCAUCCGAAACUGGCAGGCUAGAGUCUUGUAGAGGGGGGUAGAAUUCCAGGUGUAGCGGUGAAAUGCGUAGAGAUCUGGAGGAAUACCGGUGGCGAAGGCGGCCCCUGGACAAAGACUGACGCUCAGGUGCGAAAGCGUGGGGAGCAAACA
rnacentral:rRNA from 1 species